AAGUCGUAACAAGGUUUCCGUAGGUGAACCUGCGGAAGGAUCAUUAUUGUAAUAUAAUCCUUACCGUAAACAAAAAAAUAAAAAAAACAAAAUAAAAUUAUAUAUAUGGUUAUAAAUUAUAUGUUUUACAUAUAUAUAUAUAAAAAAAGCAUUUUUUCGUUGUACUUAAUUUUAUAUAUAUUUAUAAAAUAUAAGUUAAUGUUAUAUUAAAAUAAAGUUUCUUUAUGAUAAUAUAACUAAGACAUUCGCAACAUGAGAAAUGCUAUAAAAACAUUUAUUGAAAGGGAAUAUAAUAUUAAAUUAAUGCCAUUUAUUUGGUGUUAUAUUUAAUAUCUCUUUCAGUAAAAUAAUAUAUAAAUGACAUUAUGUAAUAUAUUUAAAAAUUAAAGAUCACUCUAAGCGGUGGAUCACUCGGCUCAU
rnacentral:misc_RNA from 1 species